rnacentral:rRNA from 1 species
GACGAACGCUGGCGGCGUGCUUAACACAUGCAAGUCGAACGGAAAGGGCCUGCUUUUGUGUGGUGCCCGAGUGGCGAACGGGUGAGUAACACGGGAGUAACCUGCGCUUGACUUUGGGAUAACUUCAGGAAACUGGUGCUAAUACCGGCUAGGAGCUCCUGCUGCAUGGUGGGGGUUGGAAAGUUUAGGCGGUGGGGGAUGGACUCGCGGCUUAUCAGCUUGUUGGUUGGGUAGUGGCUUACCAAGGCUUUGACGGGUAGCCGGCCUGGGAGGGUGACCGGCCACAUUGGGACUGAGAUACGGCCCAGACUCCUACGGGAGGCAGCAGUGGGGAAUAUUGCACAAUGGGCGGAAGCCUGAUGCAGCAACGCCGCGUGCGGGAUGACGGCCUUCGUGUUGUAAACCGCUUUCGCCUGUGACGAAGCGUGAGUGACGGUAAUGGGUAAAGAAGCACCGGCUAACUACGUG